UUGUUAUUCUGUGGGUGUUGCUGCAUUUUAUAUUUGUUUUAAUUUCCUUGCCAUUUCCUUUGCCACAUUUGUCAGUCAAAUGGCACUGCCAACAGCAGGCGGGGUGGGGCAAGUUGAGUCUGUGCAACAGCAUUUCACGUUUUAGUGUUUAUUACAGUUUACUGGCGCCCAACGCAGGAAGUGCUGUUACUCGCUACUUCCGCCGAGCUCCCUGCCCAAUGGAUGUGAAAGUAUCAACCGGAAACCUGGGCGCUGCCUGCUAGUUGAAUUACCCCUCAGCUGGGAGCACAAGUUCCAUUUCGGCUGCCGUCCUCGCUCUUUCCACUUUUUGAGUUAUUAAACGCAAGUCGAGUGCUAUGGAGCCAUUAAACAUUUUAUUGACUUCACAUGCUUAACGGCCCAAAAAGGCAAUUUAUUACUCAUCACUUUACUUGGCCCCUACCAAAAGUCUUCGGCGUGGAGGGUUUAAAGAAAGGCUUUAAGGAGUCCAAGCAUCAGCUGCAUCUGAUGUGGAUUCCAUUAUAUCCUCUCCCACUUGGAUCUGUUAGUAUGUUGCGCCAAAAAAAAAAAACACGAGUAUCGAAGAAUGAGGGAAAUGUGUUAACAAAGGACCAUACAUCCCGACACGGAAACAAGGGCUGCCGAGAGGGAUACCUACGGUCUGGCCUGACGCUUGAAAAUGCCAAUCAUGUUGGGACCGGAUCACAGACGACGAGGCGGAGGACGGAAGGCCCGCGGACGAGGCGCCAAGUGAAAGUCCCGCCUCUCCACGGAUGACAUGUGGAUAAGUGGGCGAUUGAAUGACUGACUGACUCACUGAGUGAGUCCCUUUAAGUUCAUAAUGUGAACUGCCAGCGCUUAAGAGCAUUUACAGUUCAGUACAAAAUUCCGGAGAAUACCACUUCCUUUAUAAGGAGUGCCUUAUAAUGAGUAUAAUGCGGGUUUCUACUUUCUUCAUCCAUUCGAUUCGGUCAUUAAACCACUGAAGUUCACUUUAUAUACGAAUAAAUUAAGAAGUUUAA